AGAAUCAAACUAAAAAGUGUUUUGAACAAUGAGGUUUAUGGAAUAACGAUGAAGGCCAAUAUCUCCAACCUUACCAACAAUAUUGAAAUGCUCUUUAAACAGAAAAAUCUGGUCGGUGAGGCGUCCUGCAGUUCUUGGGAUGGAAAAGGAAAUCUUACAUGGACGACGUCUGGCUGUGAGACUGUAAAAAUCGACAAUAACACCAUAAAGUGCUCGUGUUCACAUCUGACGUUCUUUGCAGUGCUGAUGUCUCCUCCAGAUGCAAAUAGAAACAUCACACAGUAUGUGGAUUCAUUGAGCUUCAUCACUUCCAUCGGCUGUGGCAUCUCCAUGUUUUUUCUGUCCGUCGCUCUGUUCAUGCAUUUC